AAGUGACGGUAACUAACCAGAAAGGGACGGCUAACUACGUGCCAGCAGCCGCGGUAAUACGUAGGUCCCGAGCGUUGUCCGGAUUUAUUGGGCGUAAAGCGAGCGCAGGCGGUUCUUUAAGUCUGAAGUUAAAGGCAGUGGCUUAACCAUUGUACGCUUUGGAAACUGGAGGACUUGAGUGCAGAAGGGGAGAGUGGAAUUCCAUGUGUAGCGGUGAAAUGCGUAGAUAUAUGGAGGAACACCGGUGGCGAAAGCGGCUCUCUGGUCUGUAACUGACGCUGAGGCUCGAAAGCGUGGGGAGCAAACAGGAUUAGAUACCCUGGUAGUCCACGCCGUAAACGAUGAGUGCUAGGUGUUAGGCCCUUUCCGGGGCUUAGUGCCGCAGCUAACGCAUUAAGCACUCCGCCUGGGGAGUACGACCGCAAGGUUGAAACUCAAAGGAAUUGACGGG
rnacentral:rRNA from 1 species